rnacentral:rRNA from 1 species
UACGUAGGGGGCGUGCGUUGUCCGGAGUUACUGGGCGUAAAGCGCACGCAGGCGGUCUGUGAAGUUUGGAGUGACAGUUGGUGGCUCAACCACCAAAGUGCUUUGAAAACUGAUAGACUUGAGGGCUUCAGAGGGACACGGAAUUCCGGGUGGAGUGGUGAAAUGCGUAGAGAUCCGGAGGAACACCAAAGGCGAAGGCAGUGUCCUGGGGAGUACCUGACGCUCAGGUGCGAAAGCCAGGGGAGCGAACGGG